GAUGAACGCUGGCGGCGUGCUUAACACAUGCAAGUCGAACGGGAAAUAUUUCAUUGAGACUUCGGUGGAUUUGAUUUAUUUCUAGUGGCGGACGGGUGAGUAACGCGUGGGUAACCUGCCUUAUACAGGGGGAUAACAGUCAGAAAUGGCUGCUAAUACCGCAUAAGCGCACAGAGCUGCAUGGCUCAGUGUGAAAAACUCCGGUGGUAUAAGAUGGGCCCGCGUUGGAUUAGCUAGUUGGUGGGGUAACGGCCCACCAAGGCGACGAUCCAUAGCCGGCCUGAGAGGGUGAACGGCCACAUUGGGACUGAGACACGGCCCAGACUCCUACGGGAGGCAGCAGUGGGGAAUAUUGCACAAUGGGGGAAACCCUGAUGCAGCGACGCCGCGUGAAGGAAGAAGUAUCUCGGUAUGUAAACUUCUAUCAGCAGGGAAGAUAGUGACGGUACCUGACUAAGAAGCCCCGGCUAACUACGUG
rnacentral:rRNA from 1 species